rnacentral:lncRNA from 1 species
GGUCGUCUCGGUCGAGCAGCGGUUCGAUCAUGUGUAUAGCCUUCAGAGGAGAUUUCCGUCCGGGGAAUUCGAUAACGGUGUCGGUGAGGUCCUUGAAACUCUGGGUGGUUUGUUCAUGGAUCUUAGGGAAAUACAAAAAAGCACCCAGAGCUGCGGCACCAGAAGUGUAGAAGUAGUAUGUGGGAAUGUCGAAUUCCUUGCUGAUGGUCAUCACGGAGGUGCAGACGAGGUCGAUGAUGAAGGCGCGGACGACGGCAGAUUUGGAGAUGUCUUGGAGGGCACGGCGGACGUGGGGAUCGUUCUGGCGAACGAAGUCAACCACGAUUGCGGUGCCGCUGAUGUUUUGGGUAAUUUUAUUGGUGACGCGAGGGAAUUGGCGGAAGGAAAUGGAAGGGUGGGAGUGGGAGAUGCGGCGGAUGUAGGCGGGGAUGCUAGGGGUGUCGAAGAAGCUGCCGCAGGUGUAGAGAAUGGUGAUGGAAAACUUGUGGGGGCCGUAGCGGUGGAGGAUGAGCUUGCCCAGCUCCACCAUGGAGAUGACAUGCCCCAUUCCUGGAGCUGCGUACAGCACUAUUACGUCUCCCAUGGCAGCUGCUGCUGCUGAUUUGUGUGUUGUGUUUUCUGCUGAAAUUAUCUGAUUUGAUUUGAGAGAAAAUUCAACUGAGUUCGGUAAAUUGCUUAUCUGAUUUGAUUUGAAAGAAAAUUCAACUGAAUAAAAGAUAGGUAACCAGUGCAUGCUCUCAUCUAACCAGCGCAUGCUCUCAUCUAACCAAAUAGUUAGAAGCAAACAAAAGUCAAUCAAAACGACAUGGAAGUAGACCAUAAUUUGUUUGUCUUUUCCUUAUUUUAUUUUUUCUUUGUAUUUUUUCUAUUUUAAUAAUUACAAAUUGGCCAAGAGAUAUACAUCAACAAAUAGCUUAAAAUAAUAAAAAUCUGACUCAGACAAUGAUCCCAAUUGAAGGAAACCUUUAAAGUUUGACGAACAAUAAGAUUGUUAUAAAAGAAAGGGAAAUUAGUCCAUUGCAGACUAAUUUUAAAAGUGUUUAGUCGAAAUAAAAUACAGACACAACAAUAAUGCAAACAUCAUCUUAAUAUCACAAUACUGUAGUGAGAUUAAAACAUUCAAAGCACAUCCAACUAUUGAUAACAAUUUCAAGAGUGAGUGACCAUGCAUUCCUUAUUUACUAGAGAACAUUUAUGUAUAAAACUCUGUGUCUUAAUGAAUUCUUAAUCCUAGAAUUUGUAAAACUAUCUUAAAAUUUUGCAAAAUGAAGAGAAACCAGAAGAUAUUUUCUGUACAUGAAUUUUGUCUAACUUUUCAUGUGUCUUGCAAAACUAAGCAGACAACAGCUUACAAUUGUUUGGUGUGGUGCUUCUGUCGAUUUUCCUUCAUUCCUUGCAGCAAACUAAGUAGACAAUAGCUUACAAUUGUUAGAUGAGGCAGUGGAGUAUGUCCAGUUUCUUCAGAAGCUGAUUCAGGUGCCUCUUUUGAAUAAGAUGUUACGUAUGUCUGCUAUGUAAUUGAAGGGAAGUUACAUACUAAAAACUUCGAAACAUGGCAGGAAAUUUCGGAGCAUCAAUGCAGGUGCAAAUGCAUAACUAAAGAAUGACCAGAAGAUACCCGAAAUGCCUCCUACUGUUUAGUGUAAUUGUUGAAAUAUCCUAUAUCGAUCGUAUUUAUGAGAAAAGAAGAGUUUAAAUAUCUUAAUCCCACUCCAACUAAUACCGAGGCUUUUUGUGAUAACACUCCACAACUGAUGGAUCGUGCAUGUGGUAAUUACUAAGUUGGAGACAAUAUUAGUGUUGUUGGAAGUAUACAGGCGUAAGAGUGCCAUACCUAAAUUCCAUGAUCAUGCACUUAGCUGCUUUUACUUGGAAAAGUUCAAUCGGUAUGAUUUUGGUUUUCACUUCCAAGGAAACAGAUUAUUGUUCUGGAAUUAUAGUCGUACAAUAGUAUGACAAUAUAUUUUGUUCCAAGGAAAAAGAGGUCGCACUUGGUGCGAUGGCAAGUGCCUUCGCCCAUAAGCGGUAGGUCUCGGGUUCGAGACUUGGGAGCAGCCUCUCCAUAAAUGGGGGUAAGGCUAGCCGACAUUCACCUCUCCCAGACCCUGUGUAAAGCGGGAGCCUUGUGCACUGGGUACGACCUUUUUUUUUUACUCUUAACAGGCUUCAUUUAUGCAUCUAUCACGUUUACUAUCGUGUAUCUGGAUGUUUAUAUAUUCACAAAGUUUUUUGUUACGUGGUGAGGAGCUACAUAAUUAAUAAACUCUCAUGUGGGAUUCUCAGAACUCAUUAACUUCAGUUACUGUGUAGCAUAGUGAUAUUGAGUUUUGAUGUGUAUGUUGUCAUCGCGAUAAAGGAGGAUUCAAGUGAGAGAUUAUCGACUUGCAUAUGGCUGAUAGUUAUUUAGAACAAAAUUACAAAGUGAUUUGCUAUCUUCAUCAAUUACGCAGCUAGUUUAUAUUUAAAAAUUUAGAGCUUAGGGAAUCAUAGCUAAAAAUCCUAUGUUCGAAUCCUUGCAUUUGCAACCUCUUGUGUGGAAUGUGGUCUCUCUAGUGGGCAAUGGUGAGAGGCUGACGAAUAAGGGAGAGUGGUAGGAUAUGGAAAAUUGUAAGACGCUUUCGUCAAUAAUGUCAAUUCCGCAUAAAGUUUGGAAGAAAAACCAAAAGCGAAUAAGAAAUGUAGGGUUGCUUGACGAGUUAACCAUUUGGUUUUUAGUCUUUAGUUUUGACUUUUUGGUUAGAUAUGAAAAGCAAAUACGAGGGAGAAAUGAGAGAUGAACAAAGGAAUAUAUGAUGAGUUGUGGGAAGGAUGCGGAAACCUUGGGAUUGAAAUUUGGGUCAAGUAUUUUGGUUUAGUAACCCUCAAUUGUCUGUUGCUCAUAAAUUUUGUAGGAACUAAGGAUCAUGAUCCUUAUUUUAACAAGAAAACUUCAUAUGCUUUUCAUUUGUUACUCACAUGAGUCACAACCAAAUUGCGAUUGUGAAUUGUGAUGAUGUCCAGGCUGAGUGAAUUGCGAUUUCAUGUUGGUUGCAACAUUGCAUUGGUAUUAUACACUCCGAAGCAUUAAUAAGCUAGUAAAUUUGACAGAGUUGAAGCAGAUCAACUCAUUGUUUAAGGUCAUUGUUGAAGGAUCAUCUCUUCCGAAACCAACCAACGAAUUAACCAACGACUCAGCAAGAAAGAAAUGCAUCUUAUUGGAUGGAAUUAAGCUGAUGGUCAACGUUACCACAUGUUGUUUGACUUGAGAAGAUGAUGAGGCAGUCUGUCCUAGAAUAAUUACCCAACUUUCAGACUAAAUCUCUCCACUAGAGAUUUUUCCCAUGUAUCGGAACACAGACGUCAUUAUAUAAAUGAAGUGAGGAUAUAUUUUUUUAUCUUUUUUUUAUUUAUAUUAUAAAGUGAUGUAUCGGCUCAAGAUUGGAUUACAUCUCUUUCAACAGACAACAAAAUCUUGCCUCUCUGUCUCUUUCCUCCAAAAUUUUUGAGCACAAACACAAAUUAAGCAACAAAAAAAGCAAACACAAAUUAAUGAGCAUGAAAAGGCACAAUAGUCCAGGAAUUAAUGGGAGCAAAAGGAGAGCUUGUCCCAAUAACCAGGGUAGUCUCGGUCGAGCAUCAGGUCGACCAUGUGGAUAGCCUUCAUAGGAGAUUUCCAUCCGGGGAAUUCGAAAAUGAUAUCGGUGAGGUCCUUAGAACUCUGGGUGGUUUGUUCAUAGAUUUUAGGGAAAUACAAAAAAGCAGCAAGAACUGCGGCACCAGAAGUGUAGAAGUAGUAUGUGGGGAUGUCGAAUUCAUUGGCAACCGUCAUCGCGGAGGUGCAAAAAAAGUCGAAGGCGAAGGUGCGAACCACGGCGGAUUUGGACAUUUCUUGUAGGGCACGGCGGAUGUGGUGAUCGUUCUACCGAACGAAGUCGACCAUGAUUGCGGGGCCACUGAUGUUUUUGGUAAUUUUAUUGGUGACGCGAGGGAAUUUGCCGAAGGAUAUGGAAAGGUGGGAGUGGGAGAUGUUAGAGUAUGAGUUGGUGAGUGUAGGAUUGUUACACUUGUCAUAAGAUUAGGAGCUGUGUUAGUUAGGUAGUUAAGAUUGUUGUGUAUAAAUAAUAUUGUACCUUGUAUUACUUGUUAAUUAAGAAAAGAUAUACAUUUCUCUCUUCCCUAUUCUCUCUCUCUCUCUCUAGAAACUGUUCUUCAUUACAUACAUAAAAGAUCUUCAAUUGAUAUAGGUUAACAUGGUAUCAAUCGCCUCUAAUGCUUGCGCAUGAUACUUUGAUCCAUCUUCUUGCUUCCGCUACCUUCAAAUCUGUCUUCGGCUACCUCUGAUUUCUGUUUCUUGAUCUUCAAGGAUUCUUCAUCUUCUUGAAACCCUCAUUUUCUAGGGUUUGGCUCGAUCUUGAUUUGUGAUCGAUUUUUCUUCUGUAUUUCUCUGGAUUGUACAGUCCAAGUGUUUGUGAUUAGUCCUCAAUGACUUUCUUCUUCGAACAACGAUUUGAUUCAACUCUCUACUGCAACAAUGGUGACUGCAGCACAACUUACGAUUCUUCAAUCUCCAAUCAUGGCUCUAAUUUCUAUGAUUUCUACGUCUGUAAACGUGAAAUUAGAUGAUUCAAACUACCUGGAAUUUUCAGAUGCAACUCAUGCUGGAAAGCAAUGGAAUUAUGGGAUUUGUUGAUGGCUCCAAUCCCUGCCCUGCUAAUACUGUCUUUGCUAAAUCUGGUAUGAAUUAUUUUGAUUCAUCUACUUCUGUGGAAUGUGAUGAAUUGCUAGUAUGGAAAAUGCAUGAUAGGGCUAUUAUGCAACUUGUUAUUGCGACUUUGUCACAUGUUGCUAUGUCUUGUGCGAUUGGUAGUAAAAGCUCUAAAGAUCUUUAGAUUCGCCUAAAAGAACAAUUUUCCAUUAUGUCAAGAACUAGCAUUUUCCAAAUGAAGUCUAAUUUGUAGAACAUCAGAAAAGGGUCUGAUACUAUAAGUCAGUAUUUGCAUAAAAUCAAAGAGGCUAGGGAUUACUUGGCAGGUGCAGGUGUGUAGUUUGUUGAUGAAGACAUUGGAAUUCUAGCUUUGAAUGAACUCCCUCCUGAAUAUAAUACAUUCAGAUGUGUGGUUAGGGGUAUAGAGAGUGUUAUUACCCUUAAAGAAUUUCGAUCUCAAUUACUAGCUGAAGAAAGUAUUGUGUAUAAUAUCUCUGUUGCACCAUCCGAUCUCACUGCUAUGGGUGCUAACUCUGGACCUAAUAUGUCUCAAGCACCAACAUUUCAGCAGUCUAAUGGUUCUCAUGGACAAUCAUCCUAUUUUAAUGGAGGUUAUAAGUCUUUCAAUAGAAACAAGGGCAAGUGAAAGUUCAAUUAAGGUUAGAGAUCAUUUAAUUCAAGACAACAGUUUUAUACAUAAACUCAUGUGUUGCCUACACCAACUUCGGGUGUUCUUGGUCAAUCCCCAACGAUAUACUACUCUUCACCAUCUGCACCUCUUAUUCCUACAUGUAAAUUAUGCAAUAGUGAAGGUCAUACUGCUCCAUUUUGUGGUUCUAAGCCUCCUAAGAGAUCCAAGUGUCACAUCCGUGAAAAAACAAAUCAGAUCACAUGGUACUGCUUCUAUAAUGACAAAGGUCCAAAUUUUAUUGGUGCUGGUUGUCAUCAUAAUUAUUCUCAGAUGUCUUCUUAGUUAUUUGGACACUCUUCAUCUCAGCACUACCAAUCUCAGCAAUCUUCUAUGCAAGCUAUGCAUACUGCAAUACAACCAACUCAGGCAUCCAUAUAUCAGAAUUUACCUAAGUAUGGCUCAUUGAUUUUCGUGCAACAAAUCAUAUGACUACCGAUAUGUCUAUUAUGUCUUUGGCAACUCUUUAUCCAACUAAUGAAAUCAUUCAAACUACUAAUGGUGAAGGUUUGUGUUAAACCCCACCCUUAAAGAUUAUGUAAUUUUCACAAUUGCCCAAAAGGUUUACUGAUUUUUACUUUCUGGUCCCUUAUCCUAUUUUAAUCCGGACCCUUCAUCUGGAUUCUCUUUCUCCCUCGCGCUGCCACAUGGCAGCCCCUAACUCACCACUAUCUCUCUCUCUCUCUCUCUUUUUCUCUCUCUUUUUCUCUCUUUCUUUCUCUCUCCCACUCUUCAUUUUCUCACUGUCACUCUCUCUCAACUCACCUCUCCCCCUCUCGCUCUCAUCCUCCCCGAGCUACACCCACACACGCAUCGAGAUGGCACCAUCCCAGCGACCUCACCACCAUCACCAUCAUUCUCGUAAGAACCUUCUCACUCUCUUCAUCGCCUUCAUGAAGCUCCGGGACACCCAGAGGACACUUGACCCAGGUCCGGUGAACCCGUGGGUUUCAAGCUAAGAUCCGGCCACUUCCAGCCACUUCACGGUGAAACAAAGGUAACAAACCUCUCCCUCUCACCUUUACCUUCGUUUUGGUAUCUAGAUCGGAGCCUAAGAUGGUGAAAUGGCAUCGACCGGAGCAAGGAGGUCUCCAGCCUCCUUCCCCGACAAUAGCAAAUGAACCUAGGCCCUUUGGGCUGUUUUAGAACUCAAGCUUAAGCCCGUUAGAAACCCAACCCAUUUCUUCUUUUUUUGUUUAUCUAUUUAUUUAUUUUUAUUUUUAAAACCCAAAAACAAUUGGGCCAGGCCUAAGUGCCCAGCUCAAUUGAAAACCCAAAACCCUUUUGGUCUCAAGCCUUAGGGUCGUGUGGGGUUAGGCCUUCGAGCCUUGGCACCCAGCCCGUUUACCCUAAAAUCCUACACCCUUAGGCCCGUUAACCUUUAGCCCUAAACCCAAAACCCCCUAAGCCCAAUCUGAUCCAACCCUUUUGGACCUAACCCAGAUCUAACCCUAAACCGAUCUGACUCGAUUUGACUCGAACCCGUUGACUUUAACCCGGUCAACAUUGACAGUUGACUUUUCGGGUUUCGUCCAUAACCCUUCAUUGGCUAAUUUUGACGUCUUGGACCCGUUUUUGACAUCCAUUUUCCCAAAUUAAAUUGUUUGAGUAUAGUUUCAUUAAUUGUACCCUUUAUGUGUAUAGGUGCAAUUAAUAGUAGCGAUUCCGUCAUUCCUAUUUCGUACAAUGCAUUUACGAUGGAGUAUCUGUGAGUGAACCCUUUCUAAAUUGCAUGUUUUAAUAGUAGAAAUGCAUCAUGAAAAACAUGAUUUACUAAAUACGUUUUGUGAACGUUUUAUGAGAAAUUGAUCAUCAUGCUAUACUGAGGUUAUUUUGGAAUACCAUAUUUUCUAUCGAAUCCAUGUUCUUGUAGGAUAUCUGAUGGAUGACGAUAUACUAUUUAGAACAUGUUUUUACACACUUCUUUACAUAAAUGACGAAUGACUUUAUACUAUGAAGAUGAUUUUGAGAUAUAUGUACCUAUAUGUUUGGAACGAUUAUGUUCAAUGUUUUUGUGCGUAUCUAGUGGUCACUAUUCUGCCUAUUUGGCAAUGAUACUUAUAUUGGCUUCGUGCCAAGCGUAGGUUGGGCCUAUUUGGCAAAUGAAGGAAGUGUUCUAAAUGACAUGUUUGGCAAAUGAAGGUUUCUAACUGAUUAGUUACUGAUACUGAUACCACUAGUUAGCACUAUAUAUGAGAUGCGUUUUAUGAAUGUUUUAUGGCAUGCUAGGAUUUUCAGAGAAACCUAUUACUUAUUAUGCUAUUAAUUUUCAUAAAACUUUGGGGGUUAGUAUGUUGAUAACUAUUUUAUUAUAUAUUUAUAUCAACUUGGUCCACUCAUGUUUGUUUUGCACCCCCUCAUGACAUAGGAACGAGGACUACGAUCUGAUGUAUGAGGCAUUCCCAUACCAGUGAUACCGUGUUAUCUCCUCUGCUUGAUCACUCUUGUAAUAACACCUUCUAUUGUAAUAUGACUUAGAAUAUGCUCUUAACAUGCCAUGCUUUAUCAUUGUGAAUUCAUUGUUGGCAGUUGAAUAUUAUUUAUGUCACAUUCUAUUAUCUUGUUACAAAUUAGGUGCAUGUUCGCAGCAUUUGCAUUCAUAAAUGGCUUGCGUCAUCUUCGGGUGUCGGCCAGUACGUGACCAUCCCGAUGUCCUUCUGGACAUUGGAAUUGGGGUGUGUCAGUUUGUUAGUAUCACAUAUUGGUAAAUCUGUUAUUAAUAUAAGAGUGAAACCAAUAAACUUGAAUUCAAUGCUCUAUGUUCCAAAAUUGACACAAAAUUUGUUGUCAGUUCAUCAUAUAUGUUUGGAUAACAAUUGUUGACUAAUUUUUGAUGCAGUUUGCUUUUGGAUUUAGGACAAGACCACAAUGAGGAUUCUCUAUAAAGGGCUAUGCAGUAAUAGACUCUAUCCCAUCCUUCUAGCAUCUUCUCAUUUUGUCCUAAAAACCAUCAAAUAUCAACCUCAAGCAUAUCUUGGUUAGCUAGUACUAUCUUCUACUUGGCAUCAUAGAUUAGAACACCCUACAAAUAAGAUUGUUACAUUGAUGUUACAUAAAGCUUAUGCACAAUGUAAACAUGUUUCUUCACCUGUCAUGUGUCACAGUUGUCUACAGGGUAAGUUUUGUAAACUUCCCUUUCACCAAAGUGUUAACAAGUCUGUACAACCCUUCCAAACUAUACAUUGUGACCUUUGGGGCCCUUCUCCUUGUAUUUCAGUAGAUGGAUAUAGGUACUAUAUGAUAUUUAUUGAUGAAUGUACGAGGAACUGUUGACUUUUUCCAUUAAUCAAUAAAAGUGACUUGUGUUUUGUGUUUGUUACUUUUUACAAAUAUGUUCAAACUUAGUUCUCAAGCUUUAUUCAGACUUUACAAAGUGAUGUUGGGGGGGGGGGGCGAGAGUAUGUCAGUGAACAGUUUCAAUCCUUUCUUCAUGUCCACAUACUCCUAAACAAAAUGAAUUAGCUGAGAGAAAACAUAGACACCUUAUAUCACUUUAUUUGCAAAAUGCCAAGUUAACAUCUUCUUUUUGGUCCAUGCUGUUCAAACUGCAUCUUACUUGAUUAAUAAAAUGCCCACACCAAUUUUACAUGAUAAGUCUCCCUUUGAAGUUCUAUUUGGAGAUGUUUCAACAAUUUCUUAUUUAAGAAUAUUUGGUUGUGCCUACUAUCCCUUGCUAAAACCAUAUCUCAGCAACAAACUUCAACCAAAAACCAUUAAGUAUGUCUUUUUAGGAUAUGUAUCUCAGUAUAAGGGGUACAUUUGUUAUGAUGUGUUUGCCAAGUACAUCAUCUUCUUUACCUAUUGUCACAAAUACUAAUAUUGUUGUCUUACCUGCAUCUCAUGAUACCUCUACUUCUGAUACAUCUACUACACUUAGUAAUUAAUUUGAUUCAUGUUCUUCAGCACCAUAUAUAUCACCCCUACCAUCCUUACCCUCUCUAUUUGUUCAAAAUUCACCUCUAUCCAUUACUGGUACAUCUGAAUCUUCUUCAUCAAUCUCUAUGGUACCUAAGUCCAAUAAUGAAGCAUCAAUUGAUAAUUUACAUCAAGUUUCUUCAUUUCAACCUGAAACUUUGCAAGUAGUUCUAGAGAUUCCCCUUAUGAAUUUGCAUCCAAUGCAAACCAGAAGCAAAAGUGGAAUCGUGAAAAAUAAGGCUUUUUUGACUACUCUCCAAGAGUUUGGUGGUGUUGAUUUGUCUCUAGUUGAGCCAGCUACUUACAAGACUGCUUUAAAAGUUCAUGUUUGGUUGACAACUAUGAAAGAAGAAGUUGACGCUCUUCACUAUUAGGGUACAUGGAGUUUGGUGUCAUUUCCUACAAAUAAGAAUUUGGUGGGGUGUAAAUGAUAUUUAAGAUAAAAAAGCAUGCAGAUAGGUCCAUUGCUAGACACAAGGCCAGAUUAUUGGCUAAAGGAUUCAGUCAAGAACCAUGACAAGAUUAUGAAGAAACUUUUAAUCCUAUAGUUAAGCCAACUACAGUGAGGAUUGUAUUGGCACUUGCAGCAAAUUUUGGUUGGAAUUUAAGGCAGUUAGAUGUAAAGAAUGCAUUUCUGUAUGACAUUCUUUAUGAAGAAGUGUACAUGGCUCAACCUCCUGGAUUUGUGGAUCCCAAUCAUCCAACUUUGGUAUGCAAACUUCAUAAAUCCCUAUAUGGUUUAAAACAAGCUCCUAGAACUUGGAAUGAAGGUUUACUGCAUUUCUACCUACAUUGGGGUUUAAGAAUACAUACUCUGAUUCUUCCUUAUUUGUGAAACAAGUGGAUUAUGAGAUUGUCAUUUUAUUAUUGUAUGUUGAUGACAUCAUUAUUACUGGCAGUGCAUCAAAUGCAAUUCAAGAGAUUAUUCAAUCUUUCACAAGUCACAAUUGAGUUUGAGAUCAAAUACUUAGGGGCCUUGCAUUAUUUUUUGGGAAUACAAAUUUCCAAUACCAAAAUUGGGUUAUUUUUGUCACAAUAUGUACAUGAUUUAUUAGUCAAGACAUAAAUGAAUGAGUCCAAACCUUGUGAUACUCCCUGUCUACCCUAUAACAGAUUCUUAAAGAUGAUGGUCAACCUUAUGGAAACCCCAUUUGUACAGAAGCAUUGUAGAAGCAUUGCAAUAUCUCAUUUUCACCAGGCCUGAUAUUGCAUUUUUUGUGCAUUAGGUCUACCAAUUUAUGCUGACUCCAAUAGUUGCUCAUUUCAUAGCUGUAAAGAGAAUCCUCUGGUACUUAAAGGGAAUAAUGCACUUGGGAAUUAGUUAUAAUUGAGGAGACUUGAAUUUAUCAGCAUUUAGUGAUCCUGAAUGGGCAAGAGACCCAAAUGAUUAAAGAUCCACUACUGGAUUAGUUGUAUUUCUUGGACCAAAUCCUGUGUCUUGGUCUUCUAAGAAAUAACAAACUUUUUCCAGGUCCUCCAUUGAAGCUGAAUAUUGUGCAUUGUCUACUAUUUCUGCUAAACUCGAUUGGAUCAAACAAUUACUUGUGUUUAUGCAUGUUCCCAUUUCUAAAGCUCCAAUAUUAUUUUGUGACAAUAUGUUUGCCAAUGCUCUCUCAUUCAAUCCAGUUCAGCAUCAAAAGACAAAGCAUAUUGAAUUUGAUGUGCAUUUUGUUAAGGAAAGAGUGGCAAAGUAGCAGCUUUUUGUGCAGUUUGUUUCCUCCAGAGAACAAUUUGUAGAUAUGUUAAACCCCUCCCCAAAAUUUCCUUGUAGUUGUACAAUUCCUCAAAAAGUUAUGGAAAUGUGCAAUUUGGUCCCCCAUCUUAAUUUAAUUCGGACCCUCCAUCUAGAUUUCCUUUCUCCCCUACAUUGCCACGUGGCAUCACCUUAACUUAUCCCAUAUCUCUCUCUUUCUCUUUCUCGAGUCUUUCUAUAAUCCCUUACUCUCUCUCAUUUCUUAACUCUCUCUCUCACUCUUCCCCGGUCUACCCACGCACACACGUUGAAACAUCACCACCACCUUCGACGACAUCUCAAUGCCACCAUCACCUUCGUGGACUCCUCCUCUCAUCUUUCCUCAUCACGGUGAAACACAUAACACCCAAAAUCAACCCAAAUCCCUUUGGUUUAACCCCGUGGGUUUCGAGCAAGAUUCGACCACCUCCGUUCACUUCUCGGAGAAACAAAGGUAACCAACCUUCCCCUCUCGACUUCAGCUUCAAUUUGGUACCAAACUUGUACCCUAGGUUGCUAGUUUGACGGCAACCAGAGCUAAGGAGCUCACACAUUCUUCCCUGGUGAGAAACCCAAGCCCAACGCGUCACAGGCCUUUGAGCUUAGUGUGUAGCAUAGGCCCUUGGCCCAAUUCUUGGGUCGGGCCUUAAGCCCAAAUCAUUUUUAGUUAUUUUUUCUUUUAUUAGCCCAAAAACCAAUCGGGCCAAGCUUCAAGCCUAAACCUCUUAGUGGUGUAGCACAGGGCCUUCGGCUCGUAGACCCAAAAUCCUAAACACUUUGGGCUUUAAGCCCAAAACCCUUGUAACCCUAAACCUUAUUGAGCCCAGGCCUUCGGGCCUUAGGACAAAGCCCAAUGGCUAAGCCCAGAUUCACCGGCCCAACCCAUUUCCAUUUUAAACCCUAAGCCCAACCCGAAUCCAAACCCUUGCCCUGGUCCAACCCUAAACUGGUUUGACCUGGUUGACUUUGAUUGACUCAGACCCGUUGACCGACCCGACCCAUUGACCGUUGACUUUCGGUCAACAUUGAUUGUUGACUUUGAUUAUUAAUCGUCAACUUUGACAUUUCAUUGACUUUUUCAGGUUUCGUCUGGAACCCCUCCUAGGCUAAUUUUGACAUCCUGGACCCGUUUUUGACGUCCGUUUUCCCAAAUUAAAUUGUUUAAGUAUAGUUUAUUAAUUAUAAGCUUUAUCUGCUUAGGUGCAAUCUUUAGUGGUGAUUUCGUUAUUCCUAUUUCAUAUGGCUCAUCUACAACGGAGUAUAUGUGAGUGGACCCUUCUAAAAUGCAAGUUUUAUUAAUAGAAAUGCAUACAUGAAAAACAUGAUUUACUAAAUACGUUUUGUGAAUGUUUUAUGAGAAAUUGAUUAUCAUGCUCUACUGAGCUUAUUUCGGAAUACCAUACUUUCUAUCAAACCCAUGUUCUUGUAGGGUAUUUGAUGGAUGACGAUAUACUAUUUAGAACAUGGUUUCACACACUUCUUUAUAGUAUAGAUGAUUGAUGACUUUAUACUAUGAAGAUGAUUUUUAGAUAUAUGUACCUAUGUUUGGAAAGAUUAUGUUCAAUGUUUUUGUGUGUAUCAAAUGGUCACUAUUCUGCCAGGGGCAAGGAUCUAGUGCUGGUAUAUGGGCCGGGAGAAAUAAUCCCUGGCUUCGAGUCGAGGGACAUGGAGCUGGCAAAGGGCCUGGAGAAAUAAUCUCUAGCUUUAGGCCGAGAGACAUGAAGUUGGCAAUGGGUCGGGAGAUAUUAUACUAUUGAUACCACUUUUUAGCACACUAUAUAUGAGAUAUGCUUUAUGAGAUGUUUUAUGGCGUGCUAGGGUUUUCAGAAAACCUAUCACUUAUUAUGCUAUUAGUUUUCAUAAAGCUUUGGGGGUUAGUAUGUUGAUAACUCUUUUAUUAUAUAUAUAUAUAUAUAUAUAUAUAUCAACUUGGUCCACUCAUGUUUGUUUUGCGCCCCCUCAGGACCUGGGUACGAGGAAUAUGACCCAAGCUACGAGGUAUUCCCCUACCAUUGACAUCGUGCUAUCCUUUCAGCUUUGACUUCAUUGUAAUUCCACCUUCCGCUAAUAUGCUCUGAACAUCCAUGCAUCAUCUUUAUGAAUUCAUUGUUGGCAGUUGAAUAUUGUUUUUGUUGUAUUAGUAUGUCAAUGAAAUUUAUAUGCAUAUUGUCACAUGUUCUCUGCAUUUGCAUUCAUAAAUGGCUUGCAUCACCUUCGGGUGUCGGCCAGCACGUGACCAUCCCGAUGUCCCACGAACAUCGGGAUUGGGGCGUGUUAGGAUAUAUUGACAAAAGGGUUCAGUGCUCCUUUAUUUCAAACUCAUUGUAACAAUUUCAUGCUUAGCUUAUCAAAGCAAGAGAUUUGGGGGAGGGGGGGGAUGUUAUAGUAUGAGUUAGUGAGUGUAGGAUUGUUACACUUGCCAUAAGAUUAGGAGCUGUGUUAGUUAUGUAGUUAAGAUUGUUGUGCAUAAAUACUAUUGUACCUUGUAUUACUUGUUAAUUAAGAAAAGAUAUACAUUUCUCUCUUUUCUCUCUCUAUAAACUGUUCUUCAUUACAUACAUCAAAGAUCUUUAAUCAAUAUAGGUUACAUGAGAUGCGGUGAAUGUAGGCGGGGAUGCUAGGGGUGUUGACGAAGCUGCCACAGGUGUAGAGAAUGGUGAUGGAGAAUUGUGGGGCCUGUAGCAGUGGAGGAUGAGCUUGCCUGAUGUGACCCACACUACUACAAUAUACCCUAUCACUGGUGAAGCAAAAACCGACAAGAAACCCAAUUUUUGUCGGAAAUUUAGUAAAAAUCCGACAUAACAAUGCAAUGUCGGAUUUGAAUAGCGACACUAAUGCUAGCGUCGUAAAAGGGCUUCAAUGUCGGUGUGUACGCUUAAUUUGCCACUACACAGUGUCGGUUUAAAGCGACACUGAUACUAACGUCAAUUUAAAGCGACACUGACAUUGACACUAACGUCGGUUUAAAGCGAUGCAAAUUAGCAAUUAAAUUAUAAAAUAUCCAGUCUUACGUCGAUUUAAAGCGACGUGAUGUUUUGACAUGAUGACGGUCAUAACCGACGUCAACUAGCAGCUAACAAAUAAAAUACUCAAUCUAUUGUCGGUCCUAACCGACUUUACCCAACAUCUCGAUAAUAAAAUAAUUAUCAUGCAUUCCUACACAGAUGGUAAAUGAGAUGCAAACUUCACAGAUUCAAUUUAUUCAAGAAUUCAACUUGGGUCUUUUGGGUGUAGAAUUUCUUGUUAAAUGUAUUCUAUUUCAUAUAAAUAAGGAAGUACAAAUAACACAUAUAUAGGAGCCAUUAGAGAACCGGUUACAAGAUGAAGAUAAAAAAACUAACAAUUACAUAUAAUACUAAUGAGAGCUCCAUGCUUGCAUAUAAUACUAGCAGCUGCCAUGAUGCUUUCCUGUGCUUGCCUUUGUCAAAGACCACAGAUUUUGUAGCUCCAUACUGCCAUAUAUAAUACUAGCAACUCCAUGCUGCCAUGCUUGCCAUCAGAUCAGUGCUCCAAUACUUUACUACUUCAACAUUAGGGCUCUAAUCUCUAUCGAUUAAACUCAGGUUUUAUACCUUUCAAAAAUUAUGGAUCUGCGAUUUCCAGUGUCCUUGCUCUUCAGAUCCAACAUGCAUAAAUACAAAAAAAACAAUUAAAAACCAAGAAACAAAAAUAAAUUUUCAAUUUAAGCAUAAAACUAGUUAGAAUACAAAAUAGAAACUAAAAUUAAUAAUCAUAAUAAUUUAAAAAUGAACCACCUUCAAGCUCUUCCUCCUCGAAUUGGAGUUCCUCAGAAUGUUGAUCUUCAAACUGGUGAUCCAAAGAAAAUGGGGAAGGAGUUAAGGAAAAACUGAAAAGGAGGAAGAAGGGGACGCACAGAUGAAAUGGGGAAGGAGAAGAAGAAAGUCUGAAAUUGGGGGAGAAAUGAAAGCAUGGUUGAAAUGGGAAAGAGAGGGGUUUAAAUAUGGGUACCUUUCUGACACACUUUUUGAAAUUCACAUAGCGUCGCUUUAAUGAAACUGGCAUCGCUUUAAUGAAACUAGCGUCGGUUUAAAUCGACGCCAACUUCUAACAGUCUUUUUGAAAUUCACAUAGCGUCACUUUAAUGAAACUAGCGUCAGUUUAAACCGACGCCAACUUCUAACACACUUUUUGAAUUCACAUAGCGUCACUUUAAGGAAAUCAGCUUCGGUUUAAAAAGACGCCAACUUCUGACACACUUUUUGAAAUUCACAUAACGUCGCUUUAAUGAAACUCGCGUCGCUUUAAUGAAACUAGCGUCGGUUUAAACCGACGCAACUUCUGACACACUUUUUGAAAUUCACAUAGUGUCGCUUUAAUGAAACUAGCGUCGGUUAAAACUGACACUAAAUCUCUCCAUCCAUUUCCUCAUGCAAACAAGCGGGAAAUUUCCCGCCUAAUAUUUCAAAUACUAUAAUUAUAUAUAUAUAUAUAUAUUAAUUUUAUAAUUUUAUAACCCUAAAAAAUAAUUAUAUUAAUGUUACAAUUUUAUACCCCUAAAAACUAUAAUAAUUAUAUAUAUAUUAUUAAAUUAAAUUUUAAAAAUUGGUGACCAUUGGAUCAGCUUAAAUAUACAUACCAUUCAAUUUCUUAAGUGUUAUACAUACAAAAUAAAUAAAUUUAAAUCUACUUAAUAAAUAUAUAUACACACACCAUUGAACUUAAUGGGAUAUGAAUUCUACGAAACUAAUUUCAACGAUCCAACCGUCAAACUUGUUUGUAUAUGCUUCGAGAUCACAUCAGAAAAAAUCGCAAAAAACAAACAUUCAGAGAUCAAUUAACGAGACAAAACUUUUCGACGGUUAUAAAACGAAAAAUCACGAUUUAACGGUUAUUUUAACUCCGAUUUUGAUUAUUUUUUAUAGCUACACUCCUUGAUCCUAUAUGAAUACAAUGAAUGAAUUCGAUCUUCAAUUUGAAACAUUUACAUUAGUGGAUACCACACAAAUCUUAUGUUAUUUUUAAUGAAAGUAUAAAUAAACUCUUAAGUGUUAAUGAAUCUAUCGUUUUGAUGGGAUACGCAUUCUACGAAACUAAUUUCAAUGAUCCAACCAUCAAAAUUGUUUAUAUAUGCUUCGAGAUUGCAUACGCCAAAAAUCGCAAAAAACAAACAUUCAGAGAUCAAGUAACACAACAAAACUUUUCAACAGUUAUAAAAGAAAAAUCAUGAUUUAACGGUGAUUUUAACUCUCAUUUUGAUGAUUUUUUACAGUUACACUCCUUGACCCUAUAUGAAUACAAUGAAUGAGCUCGAUCUUCAAUUAAAAUAUUUACACUAGUGAAUACCACAAAUUCUUAUGUUAUACUUAAUGAAAAUAUAAAUAAACUCUAAGAGUUAGUGAAUCUAUCAUUUUGAUGGGAUAUGCAUUCUACGAAACUAAUUUCAUUGAUCCAACCGUUAAACUUGUUUAUAUAUGCUUUGAGAUCGCAUACGCCAAAAAUCACAAAAAACAAACAUUCAGAGAUCAAGUAACGGGACAAAACUUUUUGACGGUUACAAACAAAAAAUCACGAUUUAACGGUUAUUUUAACUCCGAUUUUGAUUAUUUUUUACAGCUACACUCCUUGACCCUAUAUGAAUACAAUGAAUGAGCUCGAUCUUCAAUUUAAAAUAUUUACACUAGUGGAUACCACAAAUUCUUAUGUUAUACUUAAUGAAAGUAUAAAUAAACUCUAAGAGUUAGUGAAUCUAUCAUUUUGAUGGGAUAUGCAUUCUACGAAACUAAUUUCAUUGAUCCAACCGUUAAACUUGUUUAUAUAUGCUUUGAGAUCGCAUACGUUAAAAAUCACAAAAAACAAACAUUCAGAGAUCAAGUAACGAAACAAAACUUUUUGACAGUUACAAACAAAAAAUUACGAUUUAACUGUUAUUUUUACUCCGAUUUUGAUGAUUUUUUACAGCUACACUCCUUGACCCUAUAUGAAUACAAUGAAUGAAUUCGAUCUUCAAUUUAAAAUAUUUACAUUAGUGGAUACCACACAAAUCUUAUGUUAUUCUUAAUGAAAGUAUAACUAAACUCUUAAGGGUUAAUGAAUAUAUCGUUUUGAUGGGAUACGCAUUCUAUGAAACUAAUUUCAAUGAUCGAACCAUCAAAAUUAUUUAUAUAUGCUUCGAGAUUGCAUACACCAAAAAUCGCAAAAAACAAACAUUCAGAGAUCAAGUAACGGGACAAAACUUUUCAACGGUUAUAAACGAAAAAUCAUGAUUUAACGAUGAUUUUAACUCUGAUUUUGAUGAUUUUUUACAACUACACUCAUUGACCCUAUAUGAAUAUAAUGAAUGAGCUUGAUCUUAAAUUUAAAAUAUUUACCCUCGUGGAUACCACAAAUUCUUAUGUUAUACUUAAUGAAAAUAUAAAUAAACUGUAAGUGUUAGUAAAUUUAUUAUUUUGAUGGGAUACGCAUUCUACGAAACUAAUUUUAACGAUCCAACCGUCAAACUUGUUUAUAUAUGCUUCGAGAUUGCAUGCGCCAAAAAUUGUAAAAAAACAAACAUUCAUAGAUCAAGUAAGGAGACAAAACUUUUUGACGAUUAUAAGUGACAGUAAAUGUUUACGACGCUUAUAAGUGACAGUAAAUGUUUACGUCGGUUUAAAAGCGACAUUAAAUGUUUAUGACGCUUAUAAGUGACAGUAAAUCCGACGUCAUGUUCAAUAAGUGUCGCAACUGUCUAAUUCAUCAUUAUAUUAUAUUAAACCGAUAUUAUCUACUGACACUAUAAGAUCCUUUUGUAGUAGUGCCAUUCCUGGAGCUGCGUAGAGCACUAUGGAGUCACCCACGGCGGCUGCUGCUGAUUUGUUUGCUUUUUGGUGUUUGUGCGUUGUGUUUUCCACUGCAAUUAUUUGAUUUGAUUUGAGAAGAUAAAUUCAAUUGAAUAAAAGUUGGUAAUUCCGGGGUGCUCUCAUCCGACGACCCUGACGCCCUGGAGAGUGACUUUUGCUAAAUCUCUCAUCCGGCUAAAGUGAUUGCACCAAAUAAAGAUAAUGAGAGGACCUGGACUACCCCACCCCACCCAACCCAACCAAUUUUUUACAAGAAAUUCGGUAGUAAUCAUGACCAAAUGGAAAUCCGAAGUGGACCAUGGUUUGUUUGUCUUUUGCUGUUUUUUACAAUAUAGUCAUGAACAAUAAUGUAUACAUUGUGAUAGAAUGAAAUGUCUAAAUUAUCCAUAUAACAUCACAAUACUAUAUUGAGAUUAAAAACAUUAAAAAAUAUCCAAUCAUUGAUUUCUAAUCAAAGAGAGUGAUCAAGAAUUUCUUGUUCACCGAAGGUGACCAAAAGAAUAUUUAUGUAUAAAACUCUAUGUCUUUACGAAUUCUUAACCCUACAAUUUGUAAAACUAUCUUAAAACAUUGCACAAAGAAUAGAAACCAGAAGCUAUUUUGUGUAUAUGAAUUUUGUCUAAACUUUUUAUGUGUUUUGCGAAACUAGGCAGACAAUAACUUACAAUUGUUCGAUGUGGUGCUUCUGUCGAUUUUCCUUGUAGCAAACUAAUAAUGUCAAUAUGUUAGACGAGGCAGUGUAGCAAACUAAUAAUGUCAAUAUGUUAGACGAGGCAGUGGAGUAUGUCAAUUUUUUUCAGAAGAAUAUUCAGGUAUUAAUACAUUGACCUUCUUAAGAAACUUUGUCAAUACAUAUUAUACCUCAUUACCUUAACGAGACACUUGGGAAAGAUUUGAAGGGAAAAAGUUUACAUUAGCUGUUCCUUUCCCGCUCCCUCUUUUGAAUAAGAUGUUAUGUCUGUCUGCUGUGUAAUUGAAGGGAAGUUACGUACUAAAAACUUCGAAACAUGGCAGGAAAUUUCGGAGCAUCAACGUAGGUACAAAUGCAUAGCUAAAGAAUGACCAUAUGGAACUUUCGGCUCAUGGCAGUGGUAUGUUGAUAAUCGUUUCUAAGAGACGUACCUAGAUAUUUAUUCAUCUAUCACGUUUACUGUCGUGCAACUGGAUAUUUACUAUCAAGUGAAUUGUGAUUACCUGUCAGUUGCAACCUAUUUAAUUAUGUAAUGCUAUUAACAAAGUUAACCAAGUUUCUCGAGGACGAACCGUUCUCUCCCAAAGCAGCCACAGCCAUCUCCCCAAUUUUCUUGCUCCUCUCUCUAAGCACUCUCCCUUCUUCCGACUCCAUCAACUCCCUCACUCUCCUCUCCAAUUUCUCCCCUCUCACGAACCCAUUUUCCUCAUCUUUCUGCUCCACCGCAAACGCCAUUUCCAUGUCCGUCACCAGAACAUUCCUGUUCAUAUGCUGCUCCGCGUACAGCGGCCAAGCAAUCAUCGGCACCCCCGCAACAACUGCUUCCAGCACCGAGUUCCAUCCGCAAUGCGUCACGAACCCACCAACCGAUUCCUUCUUCAACACCGCCACCUGCGGCGCCCAUGACUUCACUACCAUCCCCCUGUCUUUGAUCCUCUCCAAGAACCCUUCUGGCAACACACCCUCCAAAUCAAAGUCGUCAACUCCGAGGACCUGCUUCAUUUUCUCAUCAACCGGCGGCUUCUUCACCACCCACAGGAACCUCUGUCCACUCGCCUCCAACCCUUUCGCUAUCUCCUUCACCUGAAUUGCAGGGAAUGAUCCCCUGCUUCCGAAACAGAGAAAUACAACGCUUCGACUUGGCUGCUUAUCGAGCCAGGACAAGCAGUCCUCCUCCUCCGCCGCAUCUGCAUCAUUACCCGAUUCUUUUUCAUCGUCAAUCAAUGGUCCAACGUAGUACACAGGCGGAGUUGGCCCAUCAGGAACACACAGGCCUUCAGCAAUGGCAUGGAGGACGGCUGGUGGCUCGAGCUCUUCGAACGUGUUGACGAUGAUUCCGUUGGAUUUGGGAAGAUGUGAGCAAAAGGAGAGGACGUCCCAAUAACCAGGGUCAUCUCGGUCGAGCACCGGUUCCAUCAUGUAUAUAGCCUUCAGAGGAGAUUUCCGUCCGGGGAAUUUGAAAACGUUGUCGGUGAGGUCCUUGAAGCUCUGGGUGGUUUGUUCAUGGAUCUUAGGAAAAUACAAAAAAGCAGCCAGAGCUGCGGCACCCGAAGCGUAGAAGUAGUAUGUGGGGAUGUCGAAUUCCUUGGCAAUGGUCAGCGCGGAGGUGCAGAAGAUGUCAAUGACGAAGGCGCGAACGAUGGCGGAUUUGGAGACGUCUUGGAGGGCACGGCGGACGUGGGGAUCGUUCUGGCGGAUGAAGUCGGUCAUGAUUGCGAAGCCGCUGAUGUUUUGGGUAAUUUUAUUGGCGACGCGAGGGAACUGGCGGAAGGAAAUGGGAGGGUGGGAGUGGGAGAUGCGGCGGAUAUAGGCGGGGAUGCUAGGUGUGUCGAAGAAGCUGCCGCAGGUGUAGAGAAUGGUGAUGGAGAAUUUGUGGGGGCCGUAGCGGUGGAGGAUGAGCUUGCCCAGCUCCACCAUGGAGAUGAUGUGACCCAUUCCUGGAGCUGCGUACAGCACUAUGGCGUCUCCCAUGGCUGCUGCUGUUUUGUUUGCGUUUUGGUGUUUAUGCGUUGUGUUUUCUGAUGCAAUUAUUUGAUUUGAUUUGAGAAGAUAAAUUCAAUUGAAUAAAAGUUGGUAAUUCCGGGGUGCUCUCAUCCGACGACCCCCCUGACGCCCCGGAGAGUGACUUCUGCUAAAGUAAUUGCACCAAACAAAGAUAAAGAGAGGACCUGCACUACCCCACCCCACCCCACCCAACCCAACCAACUUUUUAGAAGAAAAUCGGAAGUAAUCAUAACCGAAGGGAAAUCGGAAGUGGAACGUGAUUUGUUUGCCGGUUGCUUUUUUUUUUUUUUUUUUCAAUGUAGUCAUGAACAAUAAUGUAUACAUCAUGAUAGAAUGAAAUGUCUAAGUUAUCCAUAUAACAUCACAAUACUACAUUGAGAUUAAAAACAUUAAAAAAUAUCCAAUCGAUGAUUUCUAAUCAAAGAGAGUGAUCUAGAAUUCCUUAUUCACCAAGGGCAACCAAGAGAACAUUUAUGUAUAAAACUCUAUGUCUUUACGAAUUCUUAAUCCUACAAUUUGUAAAACGAAUGAGGAUCCUCCCUUAUGUCCAUUCAUCGUACAUUAUGUGCUCAGUUUUCGUCAGAUACUAUUCAUAUUUAAUUUUAAAUAAAAAUAUUUAAAAUAAUUUAUGAUCGCAUGCUGUAUGAUGAACAUACACGAUUUAAGAAUCCCUAGGAUCCUCAUUCCUGUAAAACUAACUUAAAGCAUUGCACAAAGAAUAGAAACCAGAAGAUAUUUUGUGUAUAUGAAUUUUGUCUGAACUUCGCACGUGUUUUGCGAAACUAAGUAGACAGCAGCUUACAAUUGUUCGAUGUGGUGCUUCUGUUGAUUUUCCUUGUAGCAAACUAAUAUUGUCAAUAUGUUAGACGAGGCAGUGGGGUAUCAAGUUUCCUCAGAAGAAUAUUCAGGUAUUAAUUCAUUGACCUUCUUAAGAAACUUUGUCAAUACGUAUUAUGCCUCAUUACCUCUAACGAGACAUUUGGGAAAGAUUUGAGGGGAAAAAGUUUACAUUAGCUGUUCCUUUCCUGCUCCCUCUUUUGAAUAAGAUGUUAUGUCUGUCUGCUGUGUAAUUGAAGGGAAGUUACGUACUAAAAACUUCGAAACAUGGCAGGAACUUUCGGAGCAUUAGGGUAGGUGCAAAUGCAUAGCUAAAGAAUGACCAGAUAGAACUUUCGGCUCAUGGCAGUGGUAUGUUGAUAAUCGUUUCUAAGAGACUUAUACCUGGAUAUUUAUUCAUCUAUCACGUUUACUAUCAUCUAUCUGGAUAUUUACUAUCGAGUGAAUUGUGAUUUCAUGUUGGCUACAACCUAUAUUGCAUAGAAAUUGAUACACGAGACGUGACACGACAAAUCUCAAAAAACAAGGACACAGAUGUUAGAUACGGUGAUUAAAAUAUAAUAAAUAUUAAAACAAUACUUCAAAUUCAUAAUACAACAUUUACAUACAUAAUAAUUAAUACAACCCAAGAUUCCAGUCUCAUACAAAUACAAUUUUUCUUAAUUUUAUUUUUAUGUUUAUGCUAAAGAGACCAAAUUUUUAAACAAUAUUUUGUAACCACAUAAUGUAGUGUUUAAUGGUUGAAAUUCUUCUUUAAAUCCUUAAAAAAGGAAUUCAACCAUCAAAUCGCCGCAUCAUGUGAUCUACAAAAAAUGAUUUAAAACUUUUGCCUCCCUAACAUUUGCUUAUUUUUCACACAAAGCAAAUGCAAAUCCAGAACUCGUUUAGUUAUGUAAUGCUAUUAACAAAGUUAACCAAGUUUCUCGAGGACGAACCAUUCUCUCCCAAAGCAGCCACAGCCAUCUCCCCAAUUUUCUUGCUCCUCUCUCUAAGCACUCUCCCUUCUUCCGACUCCAUCAACUCCCUCACUCUCCUCUCCAAUUCCUCCCCACUCACGAACCCAUCUUCCUCAUCUCUCUGCUCCACCGCAAUCGCCAUUUCCAUGUCCGUCACUAGAACAUUCCUGUUCAAAUGCUGCUCCGCGUACAGCGGCCAAGCAAUCAUCGGCACCCCGGCAACCACUGCUUCCAGCACCGAGUUCCAUCCGCAAUGCGUCACGAACCCACCAACUGAUUCCUUCUUCAACACUGCCACCUGGGGCGCCCAUGACUUCACUACCAUCCCCCUGUCUUUGGUCCUCUCCAAGAACCCAUCAGGCAACACACCCUCCAAAUCACAGUCGUCAACUCCAAAGACCUGCUUUGUUUUCUCAUGAACCGGAGGCAUUUUCACCACCCACAGGAACCUCUUCCCACUCGCCUCCAACCCUUUCGCUAUUUCCUUCAGUUGAAUUGCAGGCAGCGAUCCCCUGCUUCCAAAACAGAGAAAUACUACACUUCGACUUGGCUGCUUAUCGAGCCAGGACAAGCAGCCCUCCUCCUCUGCCGCAUCUACAACAUUUCCCGAUUCUUUUUCAUCGUCAAUCAAUGGUCCAACGUAGUACACAGGCGGAGUUAGCCCAUCAGGAACACACAGGCCUUCAGCAAUGGCAUGGAGGACGGCAGGUGGCUCGAGCUCUUUGAACGUGUUGACGAUGAUUCCGUUGGAUUUGGGAAUAUGUGAGCAACAGGAGAGCACGUCCCAAUAACCAGGGUCAUCUCGGUCGAGCACCGGUUCCAUCAUGUAUAUAGCCUUCAGAGGAGAUUUCUGUCCGGGGAAUUUGAAAACGAUGUCGGUGAGGUCCUUGAAACUCUGGGUGGUUUGUUCAUGGAUCUUAGGAAAAUACAACAAAGCAGCCAGAGCUGCGGCACCCGUAGGGCAGAAGUAGUAUGUGGGGAUGUCGAAUUCCUUGGCAAUGGUCAGCGCGGAGGUGCAGAAGAUGUCGAUGACGAAGGCGCGAACGACGGCAGAUUUGGAGACGUCUUGGAGAGCAUGGCGGACGUGGGGAUCGUUCUGGCGGAUGAAGUCGC